UCUCCGUUGGUGAACCAGCGGAGGGAUCAUUACAGAGUUGCAAAACUCCCAAACCAUUGUGAACGUUACCUAUCCCGUUGCUUCGGCGGGCGGCCCGGGCCCCGCGCCCGCCGGAGGUAAACCAAACCCUUGAAUUGCAUGGCCUCUCUGAGUCUUCUGUACUGAAUAAGUCAAAACUUUCAACAACGGAUCUCUUGGUUCUG
rnacentral:misc_RNA from 1 species